CACCCUGUCUCUCCCACACGCGGCCUCUCUUCUAAAGCCGUUUAAAUCAUCUCCUGUUCAGGCGACAGGAACAGCACCCAGGCAGGUGGGUUGGGAAAGACCAACAAUGAGAGAGGGAGUGCCCUGAACAUAAGACCCAGCCCCAGCUGCCCCAGCACCUCCACUGGCUAAAGGGGCCCUCCACUGGGCGCCCCAGUAGAGGUCAGAGCCCGGCGCUGGAACACAAGUGCAAGAGGUAUGAUUGGAAGGUGUUUCCAGGACGGGUGACCGCUUGCAAUUGGAGCAGUGGAGAACCAGAAAGACGAAGAUGCCCCCAGGAAUGGCUGAGCUGCGCCCAUUAGGUCGUCACGGGUGCCCUCUUGUGGCCACAGCCGGCGCAGCUCAACGGCACAGUUUGUGGGUGAUUCUGAGUUCUCCACCAAGACCGUCCUAGCCUGCAACUCCAGCAGCAAAUGGGGCUCUGAAAAGACUGAAUAAGGCACCCUUCCCAGACCAGACUUCAGCUUUGUCCCUGUGAAACAUGCCUUCGAUGUUUAUCCACAGCUCCUUGUACACUUCAGAAGCAACCAGCAUCCCCUGAAGUCAUAUUAAAAAGCGAGUUCCUAGUUUCCCCACCCGAAGAUUCUGACCCAGUAGCUGUGAGCAGGGCCAGGGAACCUACAUUUCUCACCAGCUUCCAGAGGAUGGAGUGUUCCCGGUCUCGAAACCACACUUUGAGUGCUGCAGGCUCAGAAUACUUCCUGGGAGGUGCAUACAGACCAAACCACAAAUAAGAAGUAACUCGGCUUGAGGGACAUGGAGGUCAGGGGUUGAGCGUGGUUUUUGUGGGGAACACGGGAUGGGGAACAGUCUCAGACAGCAUGCCUGGUGAUAAAAAGUAAGAAUUUGUUUCUAGACCCUGUGUGCAAAGAAGCAGCAACUCAAUGUGACCAUUCCAGGAAAGCAGCCAGAUGUGCCCAAAACAUCACCCAAGGUGUCUGUAUCCUUUCUCUGAUGGCGCUGAGUUCGCUGGAACUGCAGCUGAAGUGUUAGUAACGUGGUUUCUUAGCUGCAGAGUGAUGGUGCACGUGGGGGUAGGAAGGGGGUGUCAGUGAGGGUGGAAAUGCCUUCGUGGGUUUUGGGAUGAGCAGGCCAUAAGGUGCUGUGAGACCUAGAAUCCUGAUGCCUGGAAUAGGUUGCAAGUGUCCUGAGAGAGGCCUGCAACGCCCACGGAGGUCACUCUCACCUUGUAAGGUCAGGGGCGGGUGAACUUGGGGCAUCCUGCCAAUCACCAGUGAGUCCCCCACCAUUCUGAGGGCAGAUACCCACAUGCACUCCAAAGGGAGUGCCCACACUGGCUCUUACAUGAGCAGUGGUUUAGGGUCCUGGGCACCAGCUCUGUCCUCAUUGUGAAAAAGGGAUGGGGAUCCCCACACCCAGAUGUGAGACCAUGGGUGUGCAGACACCAUGGACCCUUACAAGUGUGUAUUUUCUAGUUGAAUCCCCAGUGGCCUGGGAUAGCCUCCCUUCCCAGGUGGAGAGAGAUGGGAAUAUCAAGACAUAGCCAGGUGAAGAGAAGUACAUGUGGGCUCCAGGCUGCGGAGCCCCGAAGACGUCAACAUGUUGCUGAGGCCAGAGUGAAACCGGAGGGCCCGGAGGGACUGGCUGGCCAGCCCACAACCGCAGCUCACAGCUCUCUGAGGGGCUCUCCCCAGGUCUCAGGUCUGGGAGGUUUUCACAGCCGCAGCUCACAGCUCUCUGCGGGGCUAUCCCCAGGUCUCAGGUCUGGGAGACUUUCUCUCCUGAAACCUCUUGUAAGAGUUCUGUCUCACUCAGCUUCUUCCUGGGCACUCGUUGGCCUGUCUGUCUCUGGGGCCACCGGGACUUGUGUGGUGCCCUGUUUGUGUUGCUGGCACUGGCACCGAACACCCAUGUGGUCUCAUAGGAAGGUCCCAGUAACUCCUCACUGAAAUGGACCUGCUUUUCCAGAAAUGAGGUCCUGUAUUUCUGGACGCAUUCCUUUGAAUGAUUAGAGAAUGCUGGCAACGACCAGGACCAAGCCACUGGCCCUUUUCUGUGAAGCUGAAUGUGAGGUGGAGGACCAGGGGAAGCCCAGUGACUCUUCGGGACACAGGACACUCUCCCCAGCUCCCACAGACCCUCCAGCUGAGUGCUCUCCCCGGGGUCUGACUCAUGUCCCUCACUGCCCGGCCUACUCAGCCACAUGCUCUAAAGGUCCUGUGCAACCUUGCUCACUGUCUCUUUCAAGCCGGGCCAGGUUCAGUGGGGCCUGCCAGUUUCAGGAUCGCCUGCUGGGCUUCAGGAUCACAUCCUCAGGACCCUCCCCGUUCUCCCUGCUUGGCAUUUCCCAAGGGGACUCCCCAGACAAGCCAGUAUUCCCGGGGGUUUCCGUGUGCUGGAAAGCAAGGCGGCAUCCAGGAGAUCAAAGGAAGACAGCAGGGGCAGGAGGAGCCCUGGACUCAGAGCAGAGUGGUCCAGUGAUUGCUGUCACAGCAGUUAUUAAAGGGGCCGCUCUGGGCACGGGGGUUGGGGUGGCUGCCAGGGAAUUCCAGGGCCCUCUCCACUCCUCCCUUCCUUCCCCCAGUUUUUCCGCCUGGGGGGUUCUUCUUAGCUGUCUUCAGCUGACUUUGAGUUUUGAUAAUCUAACGAAUUAAUCUUAUAGAGACUAUAGCAAACUUAAACUGAGAAAGAGAAAUAACAAUUGAAUUAAAAAUGACAAAAGGGGAAGUAAAAAUACAAACAUUACCACUAAAUAUAUGAGGCCUAAAUCAGGGGUCGCUCAUACCACGUACAAAUCGGAAGGCCCGUGGGCUGUUUCUCCUCCCUCCUGUGGGUCCAGCAGGUCCCUCACCCUGGCUAGGUUGGGGUGCUGCCCUGGGCCUGGGAGCUUUGCUCUGAAGAGGAAGUGCUGCCUCAGUCACCCUCAGCAGUCCUCCUGUUCGCUGGCCUUUGCGGACACACCUGCCUUCCCUCCUCAGUGGGCGUUUGCUAAGCUUCUGCUGUGCUCCCAACGGAAUCCUCUCCCAUCCAACGCAGCCCAGUGUUUUCAUUCCUAAGUACUUUAGUUUUCAAAAAAUUUUAAGUUAAUUUAAAUUUAAAAGAGUACAAAAAUGUCAUAAUACCACUUCUUUUUUAUUUUUAAAAUUUCUGUAGAGAUGGAGUCUCACUAUGUUGCCCAAGCUGGUCUCGAACUGGCCUCAAGUGAUCCUCCUGCCUCAGCCUACAAUUCCACUUUUACUAAGUGAAAUGUAGGUUUCAACAUAAUAGAAACUCCAAAUACCAGUGGCUUAAGUAAACUGGGGUUGCUUUCUCUUUCAUGAUGCUGACAAUGGCUAGAAUUCUUACAAGCCUCACUGCCUUCUUGACUCAGGGACCUUGUCCUGAUGGACUGUAGUUAAUUAAGUCCUUCCUGAUUUAAUUGGGAAUGGUGAAAUAGGGUGGAGCUUGUAGGAUCAGGUGCUUGUGAUGAUAACUAACAGACUGUGGUUAAUUAAAGCAUUAUCUAUUGAGUUGAUUUUACACUGGGUUGGCUCCAUUCGUUUCCUCUUAAAUUGGAGUUGCAACGGGCACCUUUGUCCCGGUUUUCGUGUGCACCUGUGUGAGAGCUUCUCUAGGGUAGGCCAGAAAGGAAAUUGCAGACGUAUGAGAUAGUCUCCUUUCAGCUUCAUUAGGGACCGCUGUGCUGAUGAUUUCCUUUUCUUUUUCCUUUUUCGAGACGAGGGGUUGGGCGGUCUCACUAUGUUGCUUAGGCUGGUCUUGAACUCCUGGGCUCAAGUGAUCCUCUCACCUCCGCCUCCCAAAGUGCUAGGAUUACAGGCGUGAGCCACCGGGUGCGGCCUGAUUUCUUUCACCAUAUAGAUUUUUCUUAAAAAUUGAAGACAGUUUAAUGUAUCAAUGUUUUGUUUAGGGUAUGUGCCUUUGUAUUUUUCAUUUUAACAAUCCUUUCCUAUGCUCUUCUAUGUUCUCUUUCGCCAUGUUCUUUCUUUUACUUUUCACACUUAGGUGUGCGAUCCAACCAGAGGCUGAGUGUGUGUGGUGUGAGGUCAGAAUCCCAGGGUCGAUCCUCUCCCCCACCGCCUGUGUGCACAGCUAGCUUUUCCAGCAUUGACGAUGGAGCAGCUCAUUCUCCACCCUCUGAUUCCAACAACAUUUCUGUUGUAGUCCCCUUCCCCCAAAAGGCUGGCUGCCUUUGAGUGUCUUUUCUAUUGGACUGGCUAUAUGAAGGAGGCACAGGCCUGAGCUAAGAAGGUCAUUGUUUGAUCUUGGCCAGGAAAGGAAGAAAAAUUCUUGGGCACAUCCCAGGCCUAGGCACACUUCCUGGGCCCUGCCUGCUAGAAUAGAUGGGUCUGUUCCCUGGUUCUAGCCCCAGACUCCCUGCCACAGCCUCCCAUCCUCGGGCUGCUGCUCUCUGCUAAGAUCCUCUCUUUGGGCAUAUGGUCUGAGUUUGGAUCCCAGCUUUUCAGAAAAGCUUCAUGUAUUGGCCAUGAUUAUUGAUGCUACUGUUAUCACAAGCUCCUCGCCCUGCAAGCUCACCCUCUUCCUUCAUUCUUUGGAAACAUGAGAUUGGUUCUUGCAGGCAACUUUUCUUCCUAGGAAGCUGAAAUUACCUUUUUGAUGCAGACAAGCACUUGUCCUGAAGAGUAAGGGGAGGAACCAGAUGUCUAUCACUGAGAGGCGGGAGUGCAGAACUGCAGACAGGAUAAGUGGGGACAUCUUCACUGAUUGCAAGGAAAUAGUACCAUUAUUGGCUCCAAUUGUAGAGGCUGGAGUCUUUAGAUGACUUGUAUGGUUUACAGACUCCACGGAAGGAGGCAAAGCAGUAGCUGAGGAGGUCUUUGGAGUUGGGCACACAUGAGUUCAGGUCUCAUUUGCACCUUUUACUAGUUGCAUUUCCUGGGGGCACAUUUCUACUUCAUGUGAGCUUCUGUUUCCACAACAGUGCAAUUGAACUCUUGUGGUAUCUCCUUCACUGAGCUGUCGUGAAGAUGAAUGGGGAGAUGUAUGGAAGGCACUGGCAGGAGGCCCAGCAGGACCAGGCCCUCCGGAGAUAGUGUUUGUGCUGCUCAUUCUCAUCACCAGUUCUAGGGGGAACAUCCCUCACAAGCCAGGCUUGUUGAUAACAACCUUCUCAGCAGGCAAGUGGCAGAGGAGCUACGGAGGGACCCAAAUGUCCAAGCUCCCACCAGGGGUAGGCAGGUAAAAAGGAGCAGAUGAUUCCAUGGCUCGUCAGCAAUUACCAGGUUGUUUGGGACAGUGUUGACAAGGCACAGAAAAGGGAUUGCAUUUUACUGUUUGGCUUUGAGUUUAGACUUUUGGUCCGAGUCAGGUUGGGAUCAGAACUCAAGAGAGUUUCUUCUGGAGAAUUAAAUACAAUGAUUGUCUCUUUGAAAGGCUCUGACAACCAAACUCACUUUCCCAAGCUGCAUUUGAAAGUGUUGAGAUGCUUGGGUUCAUGUCCUUGUGUUCUGCCUUGCAGCUGGGAAACCUGGUGCACGUCAGCAUUCCGAAGCCCCCUUUCCUCACCUAUGGUUUUGGAUCAAGUUUAGCUGAGAGAUCGUAUACAGUGACAUUGUGUGACCUCUUACAGUACAAUUUGACUGUUAGCUGUUAGAAGACCCACUAUCCCCCGUCCUCAUUCUAAAGUCAAAACAGCCUCUGGGCUCCUCUUUUUCUCUAUUGGGAGCAAGUUUUCUUUUAAAAUAAAGUCAGGGAUACGCGCCAGAUGUAAUCAUCAGCUGAGGCCCUCAAAACCUUUCAUUCCAAUCACUCUAAUUUCUGUCACAAUGGCGCCUUGUCACUGUGAGCCUUUCUGUAGAGGGUAUUUGGGGCUGUCCUGCCUCUGGCCACUUCAUGUACACUGAUCACAGUGUUCUCAAUACUUUUCAUUUUGACACUUGGACAAUGUUUACUUCUUUGAAAACAUUCUCUUUAGACUUGGCCAAUUUGACAAACGUGUUCUUUCUGCCUUCUUUAGUGGUUGUCCAGGCAUGGACAACAGCGGCUUUCUCCUGGAACUGAUUCCAUUCAGGGUCCUUUUGGAUCUCCUGCAAUAGUUUUCCUUUGAUUCAGCCAAAUUUUCCACUUCUUCAAUAAGUGUUAUUUAGAGAUCAACCUCAAAUCUCCAACAUUGGCACUUAUUUUGAAACCUUAAGCAGUUCAACCCAUGCCAGAGAUAAUACUUUCUUUCGGGGGACAAAAACCGAUUCAGUCUAUUUUCCACCAUCUUUACUUUUCCAGACACAUCAGUGAUUCUUGACACAUUAAUAUCUACCUCAAGCCUCACCACAAUCCAUGUGAUUUUAGGCUAAGGAAUUCGAUUUGGGAUAUGUUUCUCCAACAUCCACAUACAGUGGUUCAAGACAAAAGAUAACCUAUAUCAAUAUUUAAAUCUAAAUGCCAAAUAUUGGAGGUUGGGUUAUACGUGGAUGGGUCAAUUGCCAUCUUCCACAUCACAGGCUGGACACAUAUUCUUUGAAACAGGCAAGUGCAGUUAUUGCUGGGUAGGCCAACGGUCUAGAGAAGUUGUGAGGUAAGAUGCCAGGAGAACUGGGACAUAACAACCUGCUCCUGAGCACUGAAACAGAAGCUUGGAGCAGAUGGAGACUUGGAUUUUUGUCUUAAGCUCAUCUGCAAUUUGCAGACAGUACUUUGAUAAUAAUAAAAUAAUGUUUCUUUUUUAUUUUAGCUUUGAAUUCAGAGUCUUUCACACCCAGAAGGGUGAUAAGGGUUGGGGGCCAGGGGCAGGAGGAUUGGGUAGGGUGAGAGGACUUGCUCCUUAGGGGUGCUCCACCAUGGACAUUCAGAUGAGAAGUGGGUGGGAGGAGAGGAAAGCUCCCAGAAAAUCCAGUGGGUCAUGUGGGAAGUAAUUUGUGGCACUUGUUUUUAGGUUUACCAGAUUAAAUGGUCUAAGAUAAUCAUGGGGGAUCCUUCAUCCACUGCCACACAUUUCAAGAGCUUAAGGCUAGAGUCUUUGAAGUCAAAUUCUAGGUUGUAGAAUGUGCCUGCAGGGCUCCCCAGCCUGUUCCCCAUCUCUGUGUUCCCUGCUCUGUUUCAGGAUAUUUUUCUACAGGGCUUGCACAUUCUCAUGAGAUUGUAAGAUUGCUUAGAAAAACUGAAUUCACAGCAAUGCUUACUCGCCCUGGUGUGCGUACACACACACACACACCC